GGUCUCCCUGCUGAAGAGAAGACUUCUUUCAUUGGCCCUGAUGGAAACCCUGCCUGCUCAUUCUGAUGCGGUUGUGAUCUCUUAUUUUCCAUACAAAUGGAAAUAAAGGGCCUGCAGUAAUUUAUUGAAUAUCUACUACUGUGAAAAUGAAUAAAGGAAUCCUCAUUCAAAAUGGAGUGAGGAAUCCAUGAAGGGAGAGUUCUCAUGCACCACGACUCAUCACAGUCUGCAUACCCAGCAGAAAGAAGAAAGAUUUCCUCUCAGCCUGGCAACAGCAAGCUGCCCAGACCUGCAGUCAAUGAGAAGCUGCCACCACUUCAAACUCUUUUUCCUCCAUAAAAAGAUGCUCUCCCACUCUGUUAUCUAGACUUGCUUAUUGUUCACCAUAGUUUGCACGUCCCAAAUUGCAAUUCCUUUGCUAUUCCCAAAUAAACUCAUUUGCUGCUCA